UACAGAGGGUGCGAGCGUUAAUCGGAAUUACUGGGCGUAAAGCGUGGGUAGACGGUUAUUUAAGUCGGGUGUGAAAGCCCCGGGCUCAACCUGGGAAUUGCAUUCGAGACUGAAUAGCUAGGGUACGGUAGAGGGAAGUGGAAUUUCCGGUGUAGCGGUGAAAUGCGUAGAUAUCGAGAGGAACACCAGAGGUGAAGACGGGUUGCUGGGCUGACACUGACGCUGAGGCGCGAAAGCCAGGGGAGCAAACGGG
rnacentral:rRNA from 1 species